rnacentral:rRNA from 1 species
GAAUCUUAGACAAUGGGCGCAAGCCUGAUCUAGCCAUGCCGCGUGAGUGACGAAGGCCUUAGGGUCGUAAAGCUCUUUCGCCAGAGAUGAUAAUGACAGUAUCUGGUAAAGAAACCCCGGCUAACUCCGUGCCAGCAGCCGCGGUAAUACGGAGGGGGUUAGCGUUGGUCGGAAUUACUGGGCGGAAAGCGUACGUAGGCGGAUUGGAAAGUAGGGGGUGAAAUCCCAGGGCUCAACCCUGGAACUGCCUCCUAAACUAUCAGUCUAGAGUUCGAGAGAGGUGAGUGGAAUUCCAAGUGUAGAGGUGAAAUUCGUAGAUAUUUGGAGGAACACCAGUGGCGAAGGCGACUCACUGGCUCGAUACUGACGCUGAGGUACGAAAGUGUGGGGAGCAAACAGG